GACGAACGCUGGCGGCGUGCCUAAUACAUGCGAGUAGAACGCUGAAGGAGGAGCUUGCUUCUCUGGAUGAGUUGCGAACGGGUGAGUAACGCGUAGGUAACCUGCCUGGUAGCGGGGGAUAACUAUUGGAAACGAUAGCUAAUACCGCAUAAGAGUAGAUGUUGCAUGACAUUUGCUUAAAAGGUGCAAUUGCAUCACUACCAGAUGGACCUGCGUUGUAUUAGCUAGUUGGUGAGGUAACGGCUCACCAAGGCAACGAUACAUAGCCGACCUGAGAGGGGGAUCGGCCACCAUGGGACUGGGACAAGGCCCAGACUCCUACGGGAGGCAGCAGGAGGGAAUCUUCGGCAAUGGACGGAAGUCUGAACGAGCAACGCCGCGUGAGUGAAGAAGGUUUUCGGAUCGUAAAGCUCUGUUGUAAGAGAAGAACGAGUGUGAGAGUGGAAAGUUCACACUGUGACGGUAUCUUAACAGAAAGGGACGGCUAACUACGUG
rnacentral:rRNA from 1 species